UCAGUUAUAGUUUGUUUGAUGGUAUCUACUACUCGGAUAACCGUAGUAAUUCUACAGCUAAUACGUGCAACAAACCCUGACUUCUGGAAGGGAUGCAUUUAUUAGAUAAAAGGUCGACGCGGGCUCUGCUCGUUGCUGCAAUGAUUCAUGAUAACUCGACGGAUCGCACGGCCAUCGUGCCGGCGACGCAUCAUUCAAAUUUCUGC
rfam:Nicotiana attenuata strain TT chromosome 1, whole genome shotgun sequence.